rnacentral:rRNA from 1 species
AGAGUUUGAUCCUGGCUCAGAUUGAACGCUGGCGGCAGGCCUAACACAUGCAAGUCGAGCGGAAACGAGUUAUCUGAACCUUCGGGGAAUGAUAACGGCGUCGAGCGGCGGACGGGUGAGUAAUGCCUAGGAAAUUGCCUUGAUGUGGGGGAUAACCAUUGGAAACGAUGGCUAAUACCGCAUAAUGCCUACGGGCCAAAGAGGGGGACCUUCGGGCCUCUCGCGUCAAGAUAUGCCUAGGUGGGAUUAGCUAGUUGGUGAGGUAAUGGCUCACCAAGGCGACGAUCCCUAGCUGGUCUGAGAGGAUGAUCAGCCACACUGGAACUGAGACACGGUCCAGACUCCUACGGGAGGCAGCAGUGGGGAAUAUUGCACAAUGGGCGAAAGCCUGAUGCAGCCAUGCCGCGUGUAUGAAGAAGGCCUUCGGGUUGUAAAGUACUUUCAGUUGUGAGGAAGGGGGUGUCGUUAAUAGCGGCAUCUCUUGACGUUAGCAACAGAAGAAGCACCGGCUAACUCCGUGCCAGCAGCCGCGGUAAUACGGAGGGUGCGAGCGUUAAUCGGAAUUACUGGGCGUAAAGCGCAUGCAGGUGGUUCAUUAAGUCAGAUGUGAAAGCCCGGGGCUCUACCUCGGAACUGCAUUUGAAACUGGUGAACUAGAGUACUGUAGAGGGGGGUAGAAUUUCAGGUGUAGCGGUGAAAUGCGUAGAGAUCUGAAGGAAUACCAGUGGCGAAGGCGGCCCCCUGGACAGAUACUGACACUCAGAUGCGAAAGCGUGGGGAGCAAACAGGAUUAGAUACCCUGGUAGUCCACGCCGUAAACGAUGUCUACUUGGGAGGUUGUGGCCUUGAGCCGUGGCUUUCGGAGCUAACGCGUUAAGUAGACCGCCUGGGGGAGUACGGUCGCAAGAUUAAAACUCCAAUGAAUUGACGGGGGGCCCCCACAAACGGGGGGAGCAAGUGGGUUUAAUUCGAUGCCACCCCGAAGAAACCUUUCCUUACUCUUUGACAUCCCCGAAGAAACCACCCGGAGACACCAAGUGUUGCCUUCCGGGAAAUCUUUAAAAAAGGGGGUGCAUUGGCUGUC